CCUACGGGAGGCUGCAGUGAGGAAUAUUGGUCAAUGGACGAGAGUCUGAACCAGCCAAGUAGCGUGAAGGAUGACUGCCCUCUGGGUUGUAAACUUCUUUUAUCAAGGCGUAAAACGAGGCACGUGUGCCUUUUUGCAUGUACUUUAUGAAUAAGGCUCGGCUAACUCCGUGCCAGCAGCCGCGGUAAUACGGAGGAUCCGAGCGUUAUCCGGAUUUAUUGGGGUUAAAGGGAGCGUAGAUGGGUUGUUAAGUCAGUUGUGAAAGUUUGCGGCUCAACCGUAAAAUUGCAAUUGAUACUGGUAGUCUUGAGUACAGGUGAGGUAGGCGGAAUUCGUGGUGUAGCGGUGAAAUGCUUAGAUAUCACGAAGAACCCCGAUUGCGAAGGCAGCUUACUAAACUGUGACUGACAUUGAUGCUCGAAAGUGUGGGUAUCAAACAGGAUUAGAUACCCGUGUAGUC
rnacentral:rRNA from 1 species